GAUUCGGCGCUUUCUUAAGAUUGGAGACUCCACGAUCUUCCAACUCCUUUCCCACCAACCCACGUUCAAAAUUCAUGAAACACACUUAAAAUUCAUAUUUUUGGUGAUCAGAUAGGCAUAAAAUAUUUGCUUUGUUUUUGUUCUUCUGCGGUCGUAUCCUGUGGGUGGUCUAUUUGAUUCUCCAAAAUAAGUUUCUCAAGCUAUUAAAAGUUGAGUAUUGUAAUGAAAGGGGCAAUAGAGUGGGGCAGAUACUGCGGAUGAGGCCUAAUUGAGUUCUUGUCGAUCAGUCUAUGUAUGUGAUUAUGUUGUUCAUUGGGAUUUAUUUUUUAAAAAUUUACUAUUGAAUUGUGAAAUUUUAGGUUGGUGGGAUUGUUUGCCGGUGGAGAUAUUGCCGCUCUGUUAUUGUUUAUAGGGGAUGAAGGAUGUGAGUGAUUGGCAUACAUGGUAUGAGUACAAAUUUGGUGGACUAUAUUCAGAAAAGGCUCAAUCUAAGCAUGUUGUUUAGCUAUCUCGAGAGUGGGCAAGAAAGACGGAACCUAAAGUUAGAAAUUAUGUAACCACCACUUCUUUAAUAUUUGUACACUUAUUAUUACAGUCUCUUGCGGCUAAAGUCCUUUAAUAAUAUACACAUUACUCAUCAAAAGAACCAAGAAUGGCAAAAUCACCGUAGAUGGCGGAGGAGGAGUGCCACCGGCGGCUAAAGCAGUGGAUGAACUGAAAAGAGAGUUGCAGAGAGUGGUGAAUCUUUCCACUUAUGAAAAAUCCUGUUGUUUUGGCUUCUGAUCAGUCUUUUGUGGAUAAUUAUUUGUGUGGAGACAUGGCCACUAAUCCCCUGCCAUCUGCUCCACAUGUAAUUUCUAUAAGUGUAUUGCUUUUGUUGAAAUACAUGACAAUUAUUUUGCUGAAAAGAGUAUGGAUUGCUGCUUACCAUCUGGAAGGGAACUUUUUAAUGUUACUGGCAAACCGAAUCACUUUAAAGAACAUGCCUAACAAAAAGAAUGAGAAUGGAGUAAUUGGAAGAAAUGCAUUGAAGAGAUGAAAGUGGAAUAUAGAUUUUCGUUUUUGAUUGGUAAAGGUAUUGUACUAAGGUGCAGCUAACUGCCGCAAACUAUAUACCAAGGAAAACUAUAUACCAAGGAAAGUCUCAUUACAUCUUGCAUAAUGAACUCAAAAAGUCAAUCAUGGCUUCUGUCUCAUUAGCUAUUGCCAUGCAUCUGUACUUUGUUACUAAUUACACGUUCCUUUUUACUGUACCAAUUUCUUGAGUUUCCUUCCUUCCAAA